rnacentral:rRNA from 1 species
UGGGGAAUAUUGCACAAUGGGCGAAAGCCUGAUGCAGCAACGCCGCGUGAGUGAUGAAGGCCUUCGGGUUGUAAAGCUCUGUCUUUUGGGACGAUAAUGACGGUACCAAAGGAGGAAGCCACGGCUAACUACGUGCCAGCAGCCGCGGUAAUACGUAGGUGGCAAGCGGUUGUCCGGAUUUACUGGGCGUAAAGGAUGCGUAGGCGGAUUUUUAAGUGAGAUGUGAAAACCCUAAGCUUAACUUGGGGACUGCAUUUCAUACUGGAAAUCUAGAGUGCGGGAGAGGAGAAUGGAAUUCCUAGUGUAGCGGUGAAAUGCGUAGAGAUUAGGAAGAACACCAGUGGCGAAGGCGAUUCUCUGGACCGUAACUGACGCUGAGGCAUGAAAGCGUGGGUAGCAAACAGGAUUAGAUACCCCUGGUAGUCCACGCCGUAAACGAUGAGUACUAGGUGUAGGAGGUAUCGACCCCUUCUGUGCCGCAGUUAACACAAUAAGUACUCCGCCUGGGAAGUACGAUCGCAAGAUUAAAACUUAAAGGAAUUGACGGGGGUCAUAGCUGUUUUCCU